rnacentral:rRNA from 1 species
ACGCUAGCUACAGGCUUAACACAUGCAAGUCGAGGGGCAGCAUGAUUGAAGCUUGCUUCAAUUGAUGGCGACCGGCGCACGGGUGAGUAACACGUAUCCAACCUUCCGUACACUCAGGGAUAGCCUUUCGAAAGAAAGAUUAAUACCUGAUGGUAUCUUAAGCACACAUGUAAUUAAGAUUAAAGAUUUAUCGGUGUACGAUGGGGAUGCGUUCCAUUAGGUAGUAGGCGGGGUAACGGCCCACCUAGCCUACGAUGGAUAGGGGUUCUGAGAGGAAGGUCCCCCACAUUGGAACUGAGACACGGUCCAAACUCCUACGGGAGGCAGCAGUGAGGAAUAUUGGUCAAUGGACGAGAGUCUGAACCAGCCGAGUAGCGUGAAGGAUGAAGGUCCUACGGAUUGUAAACUUCUUUUAUAAGGGAAUAAAACCUCCCACGUGUGGGAGCUUGUAUGUACCUUAUGAAUAAGCAUCGGCUAACUCCGUGCCAGCAGCCGCGGUAAUACGGAGGAUGCGAGCGUUAUCCGGAUUUAUUGGGUUUAAAGGGAGCGCAGACGGGUCGUUAAGUCAGCUGUGAAAGUUUGGGGCUCAACCUUAAAAUUGCAGUUGAUACUGGCGUCCUUGAGUGCGGUUGAGGUGUGCGGAAUUCGUGGUGUAGCGGUGAAAUGCUUAGAUAUCACGAAGAACUCCGAUUGCGAAGGCAGCACACUAAGCCGUAACUGACGUUCAUGCUCGAAAGUGUGGGUAUCAAACAGGAUUAGAUACCCUGGUAGUCCACACGGUAAACGAUGGAUACUCGCUGUUGGCGAUAUACGGUCAGCGGCUUAGCGAAAGCGUUAAGUAUCCCACCUGGGGAGUACGCCGG